rnacentral:rRNA from 1 species
UACGUAGGGUGCGAGCGUUGUCCGGAAUUAUUGGGCGUAAAGGGCUCGUAGGCGGUUUGUCGCGUCGGGAGUGAAAUCCACUGGCUUAACUGGUGGCUUGCUUUCGAUACGGGCAGACUGGAGGUAUGCAGGGGAGAACGGAAUUCCUGGUGUAGCGGUGAAAUGCGCAGAUAUCAGGAGGAACACCGGUGGCGAAGGCGGAUCUCUGGGCCUUACCUGACGCUGAGGAGCGAAAGCAUGGGGAGCAAACAGG